rnacentral:lncRNA from 1 species
AAACUUGACCUUUUCCCAGGCUCUUGGUCUUUGACCCUCUGGCUGGGCUUUGCCUGGCAGAUGCCUGUUUUGUAAAAAAAAAAAAAAAAAAAAAGGUGUGGGUGCGUGCACAUGUGUAUGUGCAAGGUGUUCCUACGCCUAUGUGUGUGCGCGUGUGUGCGUGUGUGGGGGUGCCAGGCAGGAAGAAUACAGGAAUUCGGGACCAACAAAGGAUUUGUGCCGUCGCACCAGUGACAAAACCUGGCCAUAAGUGUGCCUUUUGAUCGCCUUCCCCUCCUCUCUGCAGCCAGGCCCCGACAUCUUGUGUGUGAAUACCCCCGUGCACAGAAUGUGUCCCCACGAGGGCCGCGGGACAGCUCAGUACAGGCUGGCCCUUCCUCACCCGGAGAGGAGGCGGUCUGCGGAGGGUCAUGUAAUUGACAUCAAGGAGUGAGCGGAUGACUACGCGGAUUGGCUAACGGGGACUUGAAUGUCCGUGUGCACAAUGAGUCUCCAGAAAACAGACCCCGAAAGGACAUGAUGUACUCAAGGCUCUGCAGUGGAACGAGUGGAAGUCACGUCAACCGGUACAAAAUGCGCUACUCUUUCUCCUACGACGUCAUCGAACCCCUAUCUGCCGUUGGCUUUGAUGAGCUCUUUCCACAUAAUGGCGGCACAUAUAAAUACAAAAGGCAUUGGUGAGCCGUGGAGAUGCCACUCAGAGUAUCUGCGCUCAGAUAAACCCAGCAGCAGUGACGUGGGCUUUGGGGGAAAUUGUACCAAAAGUGGGGACCGCUACAAACUUGUCUUCCCAAGAGAGGCAAACACUUCAAGUCAACGCCUUGGCCCCUGGCCCUUCUGUAAACCUCCAAGGCUGUGAGUUCUGCUUUCUUUUUAAUUGGAAAAGUCACGUCAUGAUUUUAAUUAACAAGCG